UACAGAGGGUGCGAGCGUUAAUCGGAAUUACUGGGCGUAAAGCGUGCGUAGACGGUUAUUUAAGUCGGGUGUGAAAGCCCCGGGCUCAACCUGGGAAUUGCAUUCGAGACUGAAUAGCUAGGGUACGGUAGAGGGAAGUGGAAUUUCCGGUGUAGCGGUGAAAUGCGUAGAUAUCGGAAGGAACAUCAGUGGCGAAAGCGACUUCCUGGACCAGUACCGACGUUCAGGCACGAAAGCGUGGGGAGCAAACCAGG
rnacentral:rRNA from 1 species